rnacentral:rRNA from 1 species
AGAGUUUGAUCCUGGCUCAGAAUGAACGUUGGCGGCGUGGAUUAGGCAUGCAAGUCGCGCGAAAAGUUUCCUGCUUGCAGGAAGCGGACAGCGGCGAAAGGGAGAGUAACGCGUGGGUACCUGCCCUCUGGACCGGAAUAGCUGUGGGAAACUACAGGUAAUGCCGGAUAAAGUCUCCGGACCAAAUGGUGUUAGCCGCCGGAGGAUGGGCCCGCGUCCUAUUAGCUUGUUGGUGAGGUAACGGCUCACCAAGGCUACAAUGGGUACCGGGCGUGAGAGCGUGGCCCGGCUCACUGGGACUGAGACACUGCCCAGACACCUACGGGUGGCUGCAGUCGAGAAUCUUCGGCAAUGGGCGAAAGCCUGACCGAGCGACGCCGCGUGCGGGAUGAAGGCCUUCGGGUUGUAAACCGCUGUCAGAGGGGAGGAAAUGCUAGGUAAUCCCUAGUUUGACCUAUCCUCAGAGGAAGUCCGGGCUAAGUUCGUGCCAGCAGCCGCGGUAAGACGAACCGGACAAACGUUAUUCGGAAUUAUUGGGCUUAAAGGGUGCGUAGGCGGCGUGGCAAGUUGGAUGUGAAAUCCCUCGGCUCAACCGAGGAACUGCGUCCAAAACUGCCAUGCUCGAGGGAGACAGAGGUGAGCGGAACUUGCGGUGGAGCGGUGAAAUGCGUUGAUAUCGCAAGGAACACCCGUGGCGAAGGCGGCUCACUGGGUCUCUUCUGACGCUGAGGCACGAAAGCUAGGGGAGCGAACGGGAUUAGAUACCCCGGUAGUCCUAGCUGUAAACGAUGAGCACUUGGUCGGAGGAUUUUCACUGAUUUUCCGGCCGGAGCGAAAGCGUUAAGUGCUCCGCCUGGGGAGUAUGGUCGCAAGGCUGAAGCUCAAAGGAAUUGACGGGGGCUCACACAAGCGGUGGAGGAUGUGGCUUAAUUCGAGGCUACGCGAAGAACCUUAUCCUGGUCUUGACAUGUACGUAUACUGCUAUGGAAACAUAGUUCGUUGCUUUCGGGUGAAACGUACACAGGUGCUGCAUGGCUGUCGUCAGCUCGUGUCGUGAGAUGUCGGGUUAAGUCCCUUAACGAGCGAAACCCUUAUCCUUAGUUGCCAGCGAGUCAUGUCGGGGACUCUAGGGAGACUGCCGGUGUUAAACCGGAGGAAGGUGGGGAUGACGUCAAGUCCUCAUGGCCUUUAUGACCAGGGCUGCACACGUCCUACAAUGGCGCGCACAAAGGGACGCGAACUCGCGAGAGUAAGCAAAUCCCAAAAAACGCGCCUCAGUUCGGAUUGCAGGCUGAAAUUCGCCUGCAUGAAGCCGGAAUCGCUAGUAAUCGCGGGUCAGCAUACCGCGGUGAAUAUGUUCCUGAGCCUUGUACACACCGCCCGUCAAGCCACGAAAGUGGGGGGCGUCCGAAGUCGCCGCAGCAACCCGCAAGGGAGCUAAGCGCCGAAGAUGAACUCCGCGAUUGGGACUAAGUCGUAACAAGGUAACCA